AGAGUUUGAUCCUGGCUCAGAACGAACGCUGGCGGCAGGCUUAACACAUGCAAGUCGAACGCCCCGCAAGGGGAGUGGCAGACGGGUGAGUAACGCGUGGGAAUCUACCUUGAACUACGGGAUAGCUCCGGGAAACUGGAAUUAAUACCGUAUGUGCCCUUAGGGGGAAAGAUUUAUCGGUUCAAGAUGAGCCCGCGUUGGAUUAGCUAGUUGGUGGGGUAAAGGCCUACCAAGGCGACGAUCCAUAGCUGGUCUGAGAGGAUGACCAGCCACAUUGGGACUGAGACACGGCCCAAACUCCUACGGGAGGCAGCAGUGGGGAAUAUUGGACAAUGGGCGCAAGCCUGAUCCAGCCAUGCCGCGUGAGUGAUGAAGGUCUUAGGAUUGUAAAGCUCUUUCACCGGGGACGAUAAUGACGGUACCCGGAGAAGAAGCCCCGGCUAACUUCGUG
rnacentral:rRNA from 1 species